rnacentral:rRNA from 1 species
UGAUCCUGGCUCAGGAUGAACGCUAGCGGCAGGCCUAACACAUGCAAGUCGAGGGGUAACAGGAAAGCUUGCUUUUGCUGACGACCGGCGCACGGGUGCGUAACGCGUAUGCAACCUACCUCAUACAGGAGGAUAGCCCUUGGAAACGAGGAUUAAUACUCCAUGGCAUCAUGAAUUCGCAUGUUUUUAUGAUUAAAGUAUUACGGUAUGAGAUGGGCAUGCGUCCCAUUAGCUAGUUGGUGAGGUAACGGCUCACCAAGGCGACGAUGGGUAGGGGGCCUGAGAGGGUGGUCCCCCACACUGGUACUGAGACACGGACCAGACUCCUACGGGGGGCAGCAGUGAGGAAUAUUGGUCAAUGGAGGCAACUCUGAACCAGCCAUGCCGCGUGAAGGAUGACGGCCCUAUGGGUUGUAAACUUCUUUUAUAGAGGAAGAAACUUGUCUACGUGUAGACAACUGACGGUACUCUACGAAUAAGGAUCGGCUAACUCCGUGCCAGCAGCCGCGGUAAUACGGAGGAUCCAAGCGUUAUCCGGAUUCAUUGGGUUUAAAGGGUCCGUAGGCGGGUCUUUAAGUCAGUGGUGAAAGCCGACAGCUCAACUGUCGAACUGCCAUUGAUACUGGAGACCUUGAGUACAAAUGAAGUAGGCGGAAUGAGUCAUGUAGCGGUGAAAUGCAUAGAUAUGACUCAGAACACCGAUUGCGAAGGCAGCUUACUAACAUGUAACUGACGCUGAGGGACGAAAGCGUGGGGAGCGAACAGGAUUAGAUACCCUGGUAGU